CUAAUACAUGCAAGUCGAGCGCGACUGAUUACACCGUUCCUUUUGGACACCGUAAUCAUCGAGCGGCGGACGGGUGAGUAACACGUGGGCAACCUACCCUUAAGACUGGGAUAACCGCGGGAAACCGUGGCUAAUACCGGAUAAUACUUUUAUACAUCAGUAUAGGAGUUGAAAGGUGGAUUUCUAUCACUUAAGGAUGGGCCUGCGGCGCAUUAGCUCGUUGGUAAGGUAAUGGCUUACCAAGGCGACGAUGCGUAGCCGACCUGAGAGGGUGAUCGGCCACACUGGAACUGAGACACGGUCCAGACUCCUACGGGAGGCAGCAGUAGGGAAUCUUCCGCAAUGGGCGAAAGCCUGACGGAGCAACGCCGCGUGUGCGAAGAAGGUCUUCGGAUCGUAAAGCACUGUUGUUAAGGAAGAACGACAGUAAGAGUAACUGCUUACUGUGUGACGGUACUUAACCAGGAAGCCACGGCUAACUACGUGCCAGCAGCCGUGGUAAUACGUAGGUGGCAAGCGUUAUCCGGAAUUAUUGGGCGUAAAGCGCGCGUAGGCGGCGAGAUUAGUCUGAUGUGAAAGCCCCCGGCUCAACCGGGGAGGGUCAUUGGAAACUGUUUCGCUUGAGUGCAGAAGAGGAGAGUGGAAUUCCAUGUGUAGCGGUGAAAUGCGCAGAUAUAUGGAGGAACACCAGUGGCGAAGGCGGC
rnacentral:rRNA from 1 species